UCUCUCACGUUUUUUUUGGGAAUUUUAAUCUUUUUUUUUCUGAGCUUUCGUUUUCUCUUCAACGGAAAAAAAAAUCGCUCAGUUCCAUAACUCUGUUUUAAUUCAGGCUCUAUUCCGACGACGGAACGACUCAAUCGUCCCGUUCUUCCUCCUAUCAGAGAUUGUUGUACCGAAGGACGAACGGCUAUGCUUGAUGUGAGCGCAGUCGCAAUUCUCGUGGACGGAGUUGACAACAGAGAGUCGUUCGUCGUCAUCGGCGGCAGAGAAUUUCGUGGCGGCAUUGUUAGCGAAGGAGGCAAGUGCAGUGGAAGACCUCGUAUCCUUUCUCGUGCUUCCUUUUUUACUCUCAACUUCUUUUCUAAUCCGUCGACAAUCGAAACCCCCCAAGGUCAAUCGAAACACAGUUGAUUUAGUUUGAUGAAUUUCCUUAAUUUUGUGACUGUGUGAAUCAGAGAGCGCUUACCCACAUUUCACCAGAGGAAGAUCCAAACUUUUACACCCAUUGAGUCGGAAAAUUAGUUUAGCAAGAUUGAGUGGUAUUAGUAUUAAGAUAGACACAACAAUAGGGAACAUAAGCAUCUAAUGUAAGAAGAAAGUUUGCCUACAGAACAACAAAACCAGCGAUACAUUUUUCUCUAUAUUUUGUUUUGUUUCAGGCUUCAAGGCAUAGGAAAAGCAGGGAGCAUUUUCGGUGAAGUGGUGAAAUUACUAAGCAUAUAAGUUCUGAGACGGAAGCAAACAUGAGGAUCAAAGAGGCUUUGCCGGGUGGCGACCAGCGUGCUUUGCGAGGAGCGUGUUGUUACUAUAUAUUCAACAAUAGAUUCUUUCUUCCUGUUGCAGAGUUGUUCCUUGAAAGCAUUUCUUCUGAUCUUGGCUUUAGUGGUGAUACAUUAGCUGAAGGUGUUGGAUCUUGGAUAUGUUCCGUAUUCAAUUAUUAAUCAUGUUCCUGGGCUUGUAUGUUACAUUGUCUAGGUGGAGCUCUAUGCAUAAGUAGUUUCGAGUGGAUGUCAUAGAGAAUGCGUUAGUCAUGGUUUUACUCGGACCAAGUCAUGUGCAUUGUGGGCAGUGGCGGUUUUGUUAUGUUUUUUUUUUUAUUUGUAUUCUUAAAAUUUUAAUAUUUUGAAUGUGUAAA